rnacentral:rRNA from 1 species
CCUCGGGAGGCAGCAGUGGGGAAUUUUCCGCAAUGGGCGAAAGCCUGACGGAGCAACGCCGCGUGAGGGAUGAAGGCCUCUGGGCUGUAAACCUCUUUUAUCAAGGAAGAAGAUCUGACGGUACUUGAUGAAUAAGCCACGGCUAAUUCCGUGCCAGCAGCCGCGGUAAUACGGNAGUGGCAAGCGUUAUCCGGAAUUAUUGGGCGUAAAGCGUCCGCAGGCGGCCCUUCAAGUCUGCUGUUAAAAAGUGGAGCUUAACUCCAUCAUGGCAGUGGAAACUGUUGGGCUUGAGUGUGGUAGGGGCAGAGGGAAUUCCCGGUGUAGCGGUGAAAUGCGUAGAUAUCGGGAAGAACACCAGUGGCGAANGCGCUCUGCUGGGCCAUCACUGACNCUCAUGGACNAAAGCCAGGGGAGCGAAAGGGAUUAUAUACCCCUGUAGUCCUGGCCGU